UGUUGUUCCACCUAUAGGGUUGCAGAUCC
rnacentral:piRNA from 1 species